UUAAUACUCCCUCCGUCCAACAAAAGAUGUCUCAAGUUUGUCAAAAUUUGGAUGUAUCUAGACAUAACUUAGUGUAUAGAUGCAUUCAAAUUUAGUCAAAGUUGAGACAUCCUUUGUUGGACGGAGGGAGUAUCAA
rnacentral:pre_miRNA from 1 species